AGCGAACGCUGGCGGCAGGCUUAACACAUGCAAGUCGAGCGGGCAUCCUUGUGGUGUCAUCGGCAGACGUGUGAGUCACGCGUGUGAACGAGCCCUUCGUUUCGGACUAACUCGGGGAAACUUGAGCUAAUACCGGAUACGUGCGAGCGCAGAAAGGUUUAGCUGCCGAAGGCCCGGCCCGCGUCUGUUUAUAUCGUUGGUGUGGGUACGGCUCCCCACCGCGACGAUCAGUAGCUGGUCUGAGAGGAUGGCCCGACACACCUGGGGUGGGACGCGGCCCGGACUCCUACGGGAGGGAGGAGUGGGGAAUAGAGGACAGUGGGGGCAAUGAUGAAGCAGCCAGGCCGGGAGAGUGAUGACGGCCGUAGGGUUGUAAAGCUCUUUUAUCCGGGACGAUAAUGACGGUACCGGAGGAAUAAGCCCCGGCUAACUUCGUG
rnacentral:rRNA from 1 species